GUCCACAUUUUGUGGAUGGCUGUUGGUCUGGUGCAUGUCCCUUAUAAUCAUGACUAGAUCCACACUCAUCCAUAAUGGUGGGG
rfam:Biomphalaria glabrata isolate BB02 unplaced genomic scaffold LGTN_random_Scaffold3355, whole genome shotgun sequence.